ensembl:lncRNA
CCCAACCUUUACUACCCCGCCGCGCCGCCCCGCCCCUCCGGUCCGAGCCGCGGGAAUGAAUGGAGGGAAGGCGGCGCGCGGGCGCGGCCCACGUCACCGCCUCCAUUCACAAAAAAGGGCUCGCGCCGGCCCGCCAUCUUCGCUGCGUUUUUGUGAAUGGGGAAAGGCGGCGGGAGGGGCGGCGUUGCGGGGAGCCGCGCUGCGAGCGGGAGGCGGCCCCGGUUUGCGAGGGGGUCACCCCCUGCGCCCCCCCCCCCCACACACACACCUUGGUGGGUCACCCCCGCGUGGCUCACACACACACACACGCACACACCAACCUCAGGACACGCGCUCACGCUCGUGCUCUUUCUCCCUUUGUCCUUUAGCGCGUGUUGCUCUCGGGCACGAUUCCCGAUUCCCCCCGAGCGCACCUCUGCCACCACCGUGGCACCGCACUGCCCCCCUCUCCUCCCCCAUCAGAAAGGGACGGUGAAACGGCAGCCGGCCGGGAAGCACAGCGGUUUACCCUCCCACGCGCUGUGCCGGCCCUUCUCCAGCAAGCAGCUCUAACCCAGCUACAGGCAGGCUUAGCUGCUGGUUGCUGCCCCCAUGCCACAAACAUAUUGGAGCCUGCUAUCUAACAGAGCAGGGACGGGAGCUCAGUUUGCUCCUGUUCCAACCUGCAUCAGACACGGGGAAAGAGGAAAUCUCUUCCUACAGAGCAGAGCCAGACCUCAGCAGGCAUUCAUCCUUGUGCUAACGUUGCCUAACCAAGGGCACAGAGCAGAAGUCCUCGGAGCCAGAACCCAACGUCCCGGUUUUCCCCAUGCAGCCGAACCCGACUCCGAGAUGGGAGAGAAAGGGAGCACUGGCACAGGAGGGGGGGAAGCGGGGCUGCCCAUCUCUGCGUGUUCACAUGAGCAUUGAUGGAAGAGAAUAUUUCAGGACAGCGCGGUGAUAUAUGUGCACGUGCAUGGGUGUCUGACGGAGGAAUCUCCCUUGUCGCAAUUAGCUUGAGAGGAAAUCUAGUUAAUUAACUUUGUCUGUGGAGGCACUGCAGUGGGACAAGCAAGAACCAUCAGAAAAGCUUGCGAGGCAGAAACCACAGAGAAAGAGAAGGAAUGCAAUUACCUGAG